rnacentral:rRNA from 1 species
UACAGAGGGGGCAAGCGUUGUUCGGAAUUACUGGGCGUAAAGGGCGCGUAGGCGGCCAACUAAGUCGGACGUGAAAUCCCCGGGCUCAACCCGGGAACUGCGUCCGAUACUGGAUGGCUUGAAUCCGGGAGAGGGAUGUGGAAUUCCAGGUGUAGCGGUGAAAUGCGUAGAUAUCUGGAGGAACACCUGAGGUGAAGACGGGUUGCUGGGCUGACACUGACGCUGAGGCGCGAAAGCCAGGGGAGCAAACGGG